rnacentral:rRNA from 1 species
GAUGAACGCUAGCGAUAGGCUUAACACAUGCAAGUCGAGGGGCAUCAGGGUCUUCGGACCGCUGGCGACCGGCGCACGGGUGAGUAGCGCGUAUGCAACCUCCCCAUAACUUUGGGAUAGCCCGUUGAAAGACGGAUUAAUACCGAAUAACACAGGGGCACCGCAUGGUGAUAUUUGUUAAAGAUUUAUUGGUUAUGGAUGGGCAUGCGUUGGAUUUGCUAGUUGGUUGGGGUAACGGCUCACCAAGGCAACGAUCCAUAGGGGAACUGAGAGGUUUAUCCCCCACACUGGUACUGGGACACGGUCCAGACGCCUACGGGAGGCAGCAGUGAGGAGUAUUGGUCAAUGGGCGAGAGCCUGAACCAGCCAAAUCGCGUGAAGGAUGACUGUAUUAUGUAUUGUAAACUUCUUUUAUGUGGGAAUAAAAAAGGUGACGCGUCCCUUAUUGCAUGUACCACAUGAAUAAGCAUCGGCUAACUCCGUGCCAGCCGCCGCCGUAA